UGGGAUAAAAGGGGGUGGGCCCUGCCUGGUUGGGGAGAGCUUUGGAGGAUGAGGAAGCAGGAACAGCACUGCUGUGAGAAGCUGCCUGUGAGGAAACCACCCAGAAGGAUUAAAUAAAAGGAAAUGAGCUGUUUAAUUACAGUCAGAGAAAUUUUGCGAUGCUGCCUUGGAUGGUGACAGCAAGGCUGAAAUGUGUUUAAGGACGUGGCUACACGAACUGAUGGCUUCAGAGGUUGCUUACGAGGACAUAACAAAUGAGUGGACUAAAACUGCUCCACAAUUGUAAAUCUCAUCUUUGAGUGCGCCCACCUCCAGGGCAGAAGAAGGAAAAAAGAAGAAGGAAACAACUUGGGCUAAUGUUCAACAACAAUGCUGAUGCUGCUACAGAGGUGUGCAUACAUCCCAAAGCUGUCAACGAGUGGCAGGGGGUGGCAGUGCCUGUCACAUCUCUGCUUUUGGAAAAGAUCAGAGCCCUGAUGGCACAGCCACACUGCAGUUUCCAUGGCAGAUCUCAGGCAAGAUAUUCCCCAGCAGAGAUUUUUGAUAUCACCAUUUUUCAGGGCUGCUUUACUCCAGGUAAUUCGAGUAAAAUGGAUAAAAUGCAUUCUGACUGCAGUUAGGAAUUCCCUCAUCUGUCAGAAUGUACUGAAGUUUACUGUAGUGCUGAGUGAAAUCUGAGACGUGACAUCCGUGUUGGAAUUUCUGCUGUAUGAAGAAUUUACCCUUAGUCCAUGGUCUUUGCCAGACCAUCACAGCCCUGAGGAGAAAUGAAAACCUGAUCCGCCUUUCUUCAUGGAGCUCUGGACACAUUUGAAGAGAAAAUGUCAUUUUGUGCCUGCUGGAGGUGUGAUGGGAUCAGAG